GUCUAUGGCCAUACCACCCUGAACGCGCCCAAUCUCAUCUGAUCUCGGAAGCUAAGCUGGGUUGGGCCUGGUUACUACUUGGAUUUGAGAGCCCCAUGACAGGGUCC
rnacentral:rRNA from 1 species